rnacentral:rRNA from 1 species
CACGUAGGGCGCAAGCGUUGUCCGGAAUUAUUGGGCGUAAAGAGCUCGUAGGUGGUUUGUUACGUCCGCUGUGAAAUCCUAGGGCUUAACCCUGGGCUUGCAGUGGAUACGGGCAGACUAGAGGUAGGUGGGGGAGAAUGGAAUUCCUGGUGUAGCGGUGAAAUGCGCAGAUAUCAGGAGGAACACCGGUGGCGAAGGCGGGUCUCUGGGCCGAUACUGACGCUGAGGAGCGAAAGCGUGGGGAGCGAACAGG